rnacentral:rRNA from 1 species
UUAAGCGACUAAGCGUACACGGUGGAUGCCCUGGCAGUCAGAGGCGAUGAAGGACGUGCUAAUCUGCGAUAAGCGUCGGUAAGGUGAUAUGAACCGUUAUAACCGGCGAUUUCCGAAUGGGGAAACCCAGUGUGAUUCGUCACACUAUCAUUAACUGAAUCCAUAGGUUAAUGAGGCGAACCGGGGGGAACUGAAACAUCUAAGUACCCCGAGGAAAAGAAAUCAACCGAGAUUCCCCCAGUAGCGGCGAGCGAACGGGGAGGAGCCCAGAGCCUGAAUCAGUGUGUGUGUUAGUGGAAGCGUCUGGAAAGGCGCGCGAUACAGGGUGACAGCCCCGUACACAAAAAUGCACAUGCUGUGAGCUCGAUGAGUAGGGCGGGACACGUGGUAUCCUGUCUGAAUAUGGGGGGGACCAUCCUCCAAGGCUAAAUACUCCUGACUGACCGAUAGUGAACCAGUACCGUGAGGGAAAGGCGAAAAGAACCCCGGCGAGGGGAGUGAAAAAGAACCUGAAACCGUGUACGUACAAGCAGUGGGAGCACAGAGCAAUCUGUGUGACUGCGUACCUUUUGUAUAAUGGGUCAGCGACUUAUAUUCUGUAGCAAGGUUAACCGAAUAGGGGAGCCGAAGGGAAACCGAGUCUUAACUGGGCGUUAAGUUGCAGGGUAUAGACCCGAAACCCGGUGAUCUAGCCAUGGGCAGGUUGAAGGUUGGGUAACACUAACUGGAGGACCGAACCGACUAAUGUUGAAAAAUUAGCGGAUGACUUGUGGCUGGGGGUGAAAGGCCAAUCAAACCGGGAGAUAGCUGGUUCUCCCCGAAAGCUAUUUAGGUAGCGCCUCGUGAAUUCAUCUCCGGGGGUAGAGCACUGUUUCGGCAAGGGGGUCAUCCCGACUUACCAACCCGAUGCAAACUGCGAAUACCGGAGAAUGUUAUCACGGGAGACACACGGCGGGUGCUAACGUCCGUCGUGAAGAGGGAAACAACCCAGACCGCCAGCUAAGGUCCCAAAGUCAUGGUUAAGUGGGAAACGAUGUGGGAAGGCCCAGACAGCCAGGAUGUUGGCUUAGAAGCAGCCAUCAUUUAAAGAAAGCGUAAUAGCUCACUGGUCGAGUCGGCCUGCGCGGAAGAUGUAACGGGGCUAAACCAUGCACCGAAGCUGCGGCAGCGACACUGUGUGUUGUUGGGUAGGGGAGCGUUCUGUAAGCCUGUGAAGGUGUGCUGUGAGGCAUGCUGGAGGUAUCAGAAGUGCGAAUGCUGACAUAAGUAACGAUAAAGCGGGUGAAAAGCCCGCUCGCCGGAAGACCAAGGGUUCCUGUCCAACGUUAAUCGGGGCAGGGUGAGUCGACCCCUAAGGCGAGGCCGAAAGGCGUAGUCGAUGGGAAACAGGUUAAUAUUCCUGUACUUGGUGUUACUGCGAAGGGGGGACGGAGAAGGCUAUGUUGGCCGGGCGACGGUUGUCCCGGUUUAAGCGUGUAGGCUGGUUUUCCAGGCAAAUCCGGAAAAUCAAGGCUGAGGCGUGAUGACGAGGCACUACGGUGCUGAAGCAACAAAUGCCCUGCUUCCAGGAAAAGCCUCUAAGCAUCAGGUAACAUCAAAUCGUACCCCAAACCGACACAGGUGGUCAGGUAGAGAAUACCAAGGCGCUUGAGAGAACUCGGGUGAAGGAACUAGGCAAAAUGGUGCCGUAACUUCGGGAGAAGGCACGCUGAUAUGUAGGUGAAGUCCCUCGCGGAUGGAGCUGAAAUCAGUCGAAGAUACCAGCUGGCUGCAACUGUUUAUUAAAAACACAGCACUGUGCAAACACGAAAGUGGACGUAUACGGUGUGACGCCUGCCCGGUGCCGGAAGGUUAAUUGAUGGGGUCAGCGCAAGCGAAGCUCUUGAUCGAAGCCCCGGUAAACGGCGGCCGUAACUAUAACGGUCCUAAGGUAGCGAAAUUCCUUGUCGGGUAAGUUCCGACCUGCACGAAUGGCGUAAUGAUGGCCAGGCUGUCUCCACCCGAGACUCAGUGAAAUUGAACUCGCUGUGAAGAUGCAGUGUACCCGCGGCAAGACGGAAAGACCCCGUGAACCUUUACUAUAGCUUGACACUGAACAUUGAGCCUUGAUGUGUAGGAUAGGUGGGAGGCUUUGAAGUGUGGACGCCAGUCUGCAUGGAGCCGACCUUGAAAUACCACCCUUUAAUGUUUGAUGUUCUAACGUGGACCCGUGAUCCGGGUUGCGGACAGUGUCUGGUGGGUAGUUUGACUGGGGCGGUCUCCUCCUAAAGAGUAACGGAGGAGCACGAAGGUUGGCUAAUCCUGGUCGGACAUCAGGAGGUUAGUGCAAUGGCAUAAGCCAGCUUGACUGCGAGCGUGACGGCGCGAGCAGGUGCGAAAGCAGGUCAUAGUGAUCCGGUGGUUCUGAAUGGAAGGGCCAUCGCUCAACGGAUAAAAGGUACUCCGGGGAUAACAGGCUGAUACCGCCCAAGAGUUCAUAUCGACGGCGGUGUUUGGCACCUCGAUGUCGGCUCAUCACAUCCUGGGGCUGAAGUAGGUCCCAAGGGUAUGGCUGUUCGCCAUUUAAAGUGGUACGCGAGCUGGGUUUAGAACGUCGUGAGACAGUUCGGUCCCUAUCUGCCGUGGGCGCUGGAGAACUGAGGGGGGCUGCUCCUAGUACGAGAGGACCGGAGUGGACGCAUCACUGGUGUUCGGGUUGUCAUGCCAAUGGCACUGCCCGGUAGCUAAAUGCGGAAGAGAUAAGUGCUGAAAGCAUCUAAGCACGAAACUUGCCCCGAGAUGAGUUCUCCCUGACCCUUUAAGGGUCCUGAAGGAACGUUGAAGACGACGACGUUGAUAGGCCGGGUGUGUAAGCGCAGCGAUGCGUUGAGCUAACCGGUACUAAUGAACCGUGAGGCUUAACCU